UACAGAGGGUGCAAGCGUUAAUCGGAAUUACUGGGCGUAAAGCGUGCGUAGACGGUUGCAUAAGUCAGAUGUGAAAGCCCCGGGCUCAACCUGGGAAUUGCAUUUGAGACUGUGUAGCUAGGGUGCGGAAGAGGGAAGCGGAAUUUCCGGUGUAGCGGUGAAAUGCGUAGAUAUCGGAAGGAACACCAGUGGCAAAAGCGGCUUCCUGGUCAAGCACCGACGUUAAGGCCCGAAAGCGUGGGAAGCAAACAGG
rnacentral:rRNA from 1 species